CAAUAGCGUAUAUUAAAGUUGUUGCGGUUAAAAAGCUCGUAGUUGGAUUUCUGCCGAGGACGACCGGUCCGCCCUCUGGGUGAGCAUCUGGGACGGCCUGGGCAUCCUCUUGGGGAACGUAGCUGCACUUGACUGUGUGGUGCGGUAUCCAGGACUUUUACUUUGAGGAAAUUAGAGUGUUUCAAGCAGGCGCACGCCUUGAAUACAUUAGCAUGGAAUAAUAAGAUAGGACCUCGGUUCUAUUUUGUUGGUUUCUAGAGUUGGGAUAAUGAUUAAUAGGGACAAUUGGGGGCAUUCGUAUCGACACGUCAGAGGUGGAAUUCUUGGAUUGUGUUGCGACGAACUACUGCGAAAGCAUUUGCCAAGGAUGUUUUCAUUGAUCAAGAACGAAAGUAAGGGAUCGAAGACGAUUAGAUAUCAU
rnacentral:rRNA from 1 species